GUUCCCGGGAGUACAAGACGACAUUGGAACAAUUGGAACAGAGAAGAUUGGGAAUUCAUGGGCACAAAGAUGACACGCAAAUUCGUGAAGCGGUUCUCAUUUUC
rnacentral:snRNA from 1 species